AGAGUUCCCUUCUGGCUCAGAUUGAACGCUGGCGGCAGGCCUAACACAUGCAAGUCGAGCGGAUGAGUGGAGCUUGCUCCUUGAUUCAGCGGCGGACGGGUGAGUAAUGCCUAGGAAUCUGCCUGGUAGUGGGGGACAACGUUUCGAAAGGAACGCUAAUACCGCAUACGUCCUACGGGAGAAAGCAGGGGACCUUCGGGCCUUGCGCUAUCAGAUGAGCCUAGGUCGGAUUAGCUAGUAGGUGAGGUAAAGGCUCACCUAGGCGACGAUCCGUAACUGGUCUGAGAGGAUGAUCAGUCACACUGGAACUGAGACACGGUCCAGACUCCUACGGGAGGCAGCAGUGGGGAAUAUUGGACAAUGGGCGACCGCCUGAUCCAGCCAUGCCGCGUGUGUGAAGAAGGUCUUCGGAUUGUAAAGCACUUUAAGUUGGGAGGAAGGGCAGUAAGUUAAUACCUUGCUGUUUUGACGUUACCAACAGAAUAAGCACCGGCUAACUUCGUGCCAGCAGCCGCGGUAAUACGAGGGGUGCAAGCGUUAAUCGGAAUUACUGGGCGUAAAGCGCGCGUAGGUGGUUCAGCAAGUUGGAGGUGAAAUCCCCGGGCUCAACCUGGGAACUGCCUCCAAAACUACUGAGCUAGAGUACGGUAGAGGGUAGUGGAAUUUCCUGUGUAGCGGUGAAAUGCGUAGAUAUAGGAAGGAACACCAGUGGCGAAGGCGACUACCUGGACUGAUACUGACACUGAGGUGCGAAAGCGUGGGGAGCAAAAAGGAUUAGAUACCCUGGUAGUCCACGCCGUAAA
rnacentral:rRNA from 1 species